rnacentral:lncRNA from 10 species
CCCUCCUUUGUAGUCUUAAUAGGUCACUUUAGGACCAAGUGAGACCAGCUUUUGUGGCACUACCCCCCAACCUUUCUAUGGGCUCUCUCCCUCAAAUCAGAAGUUGAGGGUCAGAGAAGGGAGUCUAUGAUAGUGUGUGUCCCAAGAGGGGGUUACAGAGAAGCCAUAAGCAAAACAAGGCCAGGAUUGUUUCUGGGUUGCUAUGGAAACCAGGUUCCCUCCUCCUGGCAGGAAUGGAGGAGUGCCUAAGGCCUUCCUCCUACCACCAAUCCUGAGGGUUGUAAAGGCGGAGUUUGCUAAGGCCUGGGGAAAGGGCUGGUCUUGGAGGACAAACCAACCAUUCCCUAUAGCUGGCCUGCUAUUCAGAGGUCUUUGACCCCCACCUUUCCUACCCUCCCACCUCUAUAUUCAGUCAAAGGAGGCUUUUUCCUCUGGUACCUUGUCCUCUAUAGAGACCUGUUGCUUAGCAACCACUAGUGCUUUCUUCUUAAUAACUAACACGGACGGAGAGAUAAAAUAUCUGUGUCUAUAUUCAGUUCCCCUCCCCUGUCUAUUUAUAUUUAAUAACUGAAACCCUGUCUUGGGUUCCCUUAGCACCUGCCUUAGAGAGCUCUUAGAGGGAUUAUCCGCAGCCUGAAGAAAGAAGGUUACAACUGAGGAAGAACUUCUGAACAGGGAAGAGUGGAAGAAAAGACUGCAGCUCAGCUCCAGAAGCAGACCCAGAAUGGCAUCCUUCUCUGAGACCCAGACCCCAGCCCCUUUUCAUGGAAGACCAGCACAAAGGAGGAAGUAGGUUAGGGAAUGGUAAGGCUCCAUGUGAUGGGACUAAUGUGGAGAGGCCUGGGGCCUUUCCCUGAGGACUGGAUGGCUGGAGUUUGGGAGCCUGAGUUGACAGAGGAGGCUAAGCCCGGGCAGCUACUUUGUUCCAGAAAUCUAAGGUCCCUGGAGGGAGGCUCUGCUUUGGGAGGGGGAAGGGAGCUAACAUUGCAGAGCACCAACUGUGAACCAGGUACAAUGGCAGAGCCUUUCCAUACCUGUACUCACAACUAGCGGGUGAGGAGUCAAGGCAAAUAGGUGUCUCAUAGCUCCCCAUAUCUCGGCAGUCGACCACCUCCUCCUUUGAUUCUCUGAUGUCACUGCCAGUUCUCCUCCUAUUGCUCUGACCUGUCUUUCUCUGUGUCCUUUGCAAACUCAUUCUCAACUCCUUAGACUCAGUCAAGUCCCCCAGUUACACACUUCCAUGGUACUAUAUAUCAUUCCUUCAGAGCACUUAACACAGUUAUUUCCUAUGUAUUUGUCCAGUCAUUUGAAUAAUGAUCCUAGUUUCAUUGGAUGGAAAGUUCCACAAGGUCAGUGACCAUUUCUAUCUGUGUUCACCAAUGUGUUCCCAGUGCCCAGAAACAAUGCCUAGCAUAAAGCAGCUGUUUUGUAAAUACUUGUUCAAUGAAUGAAUAAAUGACAAAAGAACAUC